rnacentral:rRNA from 1 species
UACGUAGGGUGCAAGCGUUGUCCGGAAUUAUUGGGCGUAAAGAGCUCGUAGGCGGUUUGUCGCGUCUGCUGUGAAAACCCGAGGCUCAACCUCGGGCCUGCAGUGGGUACGGGCAGACUAGAGUGCGGUAGGGGGAGAUUGGAAUUCCUGGUGUAGCCGGUGAAAUGCGCAGAUAUCAGGAGGAACACCAAUGGCGAAGGCAGAUCUCUGGGCCGUAACUGACGCUGAGGAGCCGAAAGCAUGGGGAGCGAACAGG